CCCUUAGAUGCUCUGGGCCGCACGCGCGCUACACUGGUCGAUGCAACGAGUUUCUUUCCUUGGCCGACAGGCCUGGGCAAUCUUUGAACAUCGAUCGUGAUCGGGAUAGAUUCUCGUAAUUUUUGAUCUUAAACGAGGAAUUCCUAGUAAACGCAAGUCAUCAGCUUGCAUUGAUUACGUCCCUGCCCUUUGUACACACCGCCCGUCGCACCUACCGAUUGAAUGGUCCGGUGAAAUCUCCGGACUGGCGUGAGUCGGAGCAAUCUGACAAACGCCGGAAAGUUGAUUAAACCUUACCAUUUAGAGGAAGGUGAAGUCGUAACA
rnacentral:rRNA from 1 species